rnacentral:rRNA from 1 species
AUACGUAGGGUGCAAGCGUUGUCCGGAAUUAUUGGGCGUAAAGAGCUCGUAGGCGGUGUGUCGCGUCUGCUGUGAAAACUCAGGGCUCAACUCUGAGCUUGCAGUGGGUACGGGCACACUUGAGUGCGGUAGGGGAGACUGGAAUUCCUGGUGUAGCGGUGAAAUGCGCAGAUAUCAGGAGGAACACCGGUGGCGAAGGCGGGUCUCUGGGCCGUAACUGACGCUGAGGAGCGAAAGCAUGGGGAGCGAACAGGAUUAGAUACCCUGGUAGUCCAUGCCGUAAACGUUGGGCGCUAGGUGUGGGGUCCAUUCCACGGAUUCCGUGCCGCAGCUAACGCAUUAAGCGCCCCGCCUGGGGAGUACGGCCGCAAGGCUAAA